UACGUAGGGUGCGAGCGUUAAUCGGAAUUACUGGGCGUAAAGCGUGCGUAGGCGGUCCCGCAAGUCCGCUGUGAAAGCCCCGAGCUUAACUUGGGAACUGCAGUGGAAACUAUGGGACGUGAAUCCGGCAGAGGGGGGUGGAAUGCCACGUGUAGCAGUGAAAUGCGUAGAGAUGUGGCGGAACACCGAUGGCGAAGGCAGCCCCCUGGGCUGAGAUUGACGCUCAGGCACGAAAGCGUGGGGAGCAAACAGG
rnacentral:rRNA from 1 species